CAAAAUCAAACAAUAGUGAAGUAAGCAGUGAUACAUGCAUUUAAAAUCAUAAAAUAGAUAAACCAGAUACUAUAAUGCAUUUAAACUGUAAAAUAAAUCAAACAGAAAUCGACAGAGAAUAAUGUCCGAUUCGGGCUCCAAUAGCAAUCGUAAUUAAUUAUGCAUAUUUAUUUAAUUUGUACACAAUACAGUAUUAUCAUUUAUUCAAACUUCAAUUCCAUGAUAGGAAAUAGGGUGAGGAGUCCUUACUUGAUUUGACGCCGAAAACUAAAUUGUCACUGCGUCUACGGGUGAUCCCUAGGUUCCCUGAAUUUUUCAUUGGGAACUAAAACGCGCUUACGGUACCUACACAUGUCCCAAACAACCCAAAAAUUAGACCCGGGGCUUACUCGACCAAUUUUAAA
rnacentral:lncRNA from 1 species